rnacentral:lncRNA from 1 species
UUAUGAAGUAUUCUUGGCUUUUCACAGUUAAACAAAAAUAUGAUUUCAUGUCUGUCUUUGGUAACUUUAAAAUUCAAGUUGAACGAUACUUUAAUACAUCAAUUUAUUUUGUCCAUAGUGAUGGUGGUGGCGAAUACAUUGGCCUAUGUUCUUUACUUAGUCACCUGGGCAUUCUACAUUUCACCAGUCCAUCGUACACUCCCCAACAUGUUGGGACGGCUGAACGAAAGCAUCGUCAUAUCAUAGAGACGGCUCUUACUCUGCUACACCAUGCAUCCGUUCGACUUUAUUGUUGGUCACUUGCAUGUCAAGCAGCCAUAUACUUAAUCAAUCGCAUGCCUAUUCCGAUUCUCAAAAAUAAAUCACCUUAUCAAGCAUUAUUUAACAUUGCUCCCAACUACUUGAAACUCCGUAUCUUCGGUUGUUCAUGCUAUCCACGGCUUAGGCCAUAAACAAGCCACAAGUUAGACAAUAAAUCAAAACCAUGUGUAUUUAUGGGGUAUGAAAAAAUGUCAAGCAGUUACAUUUGCUUCGACCCUCAAAAUCAAAAAUUUUACUCUUCUCGCCAUGUCAUUUUGUAGAGUCGGUAUUCCCUUUCAAAAAUUAUCAAACUACUCUACCUCGUGUCAAUCCUACACAAUUAGGUCCAUAGGUAAUUCAUCAUGUUGAAGUUUCUUCACCAGUCAAACUCCUUCCAAAGCUCUUCUAUCUGAUGAGAUACAAAUGUCGCCGAUGAACAGAGAUUCCCAUUACUCUUCCUUGAUCAAUGAUGAGCCUUCUGUAUCACCAUCACAGGUAACUACUUUGUUUUUUGAUUUAGCUAUCAGGUAUUUAAAUUUAUUAGAGGCUCGAGUAAUUUUAAUUCGCUUUAGAUAGGCUCAAUAAAAGGUUAAAUGCUACCUACAAACAUAUUUUUAAUUUUCGUAACUUAAUGAAACUUUUUACUAAAGAUUCAUCCCACCAAUUCCACCACACUUCUCGAUUGAUUUAUUCUCAAAUGUACCAAUAUUUCACCAAACUGGCCGCGAGUUAGUUUGUAAACCACUGGCGUUGCUUAUAGUCUUGAACUGUUAUCUUGUUUUUCCUCCUUUCGUGUCACUAUCAUAUGGCCAUAAUUUGGUUAGACUUUUCUUUGCCUUUUUUCUCAUGUGGAUAGAAUUAACUCACCUUGUAAUGUAAUGAUUAAUUAUUGAGCGACUAGGAAAUACAUACUCAUAGCAAUCACUUUGUAAUAAUUUAAUAUGAUAUAGUCAUAAAGUAAAAUACACACCUCUAUAAAUUAAGCCCACAUGUUCCGAAAAACUCAAUCCAUAAUAAUGGAAGAUCAAAAACACUUGGAAUCCAUAAUCAUGGCAGCUCUUUCUACGUUAACCCCUUCGCAACUCACAGAUCUAACUCACUAUUCCUCCUCCCUCUACCAUUGUUACCACCGCCGUAUUUUCUCUCUCCUCUCUUCUCCCACCCUUUUCUCUCUCACUCUCUACUACCUCAACUCCCUCUCUCUCCCCCAUAAAUUCAUCCUCAUCGCCCGUCACCUCUUGUCAAAACUCGCAAUUUUGGUAUACUUCAUGCAAAAAAAGAUAAUUUUGCCCCCACCCUCGACCACCACAAUGAAUCUCCGGGACUUAGAUGCAGUUCUCCUCAUCCUACUCCUCUGUGAACUGCGCCAACACGAACCUGAGGCACUUGAUGCCCCACCAUCGCAUUGGCGCGAUAUCCUAUGUGACUAUGUAGCCAAGGACAUGUUGAAACUAUCUAGCUUUGGAAGUUCUAAAAGUGAAGUCACAAUCAAGUUCGUUGAGCUAGUUGCAAAGUGCAAGAAUUUUGUCAAUGUUAUGGCCUAUGAUGUUGGUGAACUCGGGCGGAGCUCCAGGUAAAAAUAAAUUUUUUUGUACAUGUAUAAACUGUAGUAACUUUUAGUCAAAGAUGAAUAUAAUGGACCAGAUAGUUAAUGGAUCCAACUGAAGCCUUAUUUUCUACACGGAGUAUAGACACCCAUGUAAAAUAAAGGUAUCACAAUUAAUGUCAACAAAGUAUUAACUUUUAAACUCAUAAAUGAGAAUUGCAAUGAAUUCAGCUGGUAAGACCUAAAAGAUUCACUUUUGCUAGGUUUAAAAAUUAUUUUAGGUCAUAGGUUUAAUCCAUGUGUGAUUCUUAAUUUUUCCCCAGAAUUCUUGACUCCGCCACUAGUGGUGAAGGAAAAUAUAGCAAGACGUUAGCGACAUCCGUGGCGGUGGUGGUGGCGCUGCCGUCAGUGGAAGUGAUGAGUGGCAGUGAAAAGGAAUGUGUGAUAUGCAAGGAAGAGAUGAGAAAAGGCAGAAAUGUUUGCAAAUUAGCAUGUGAUCAUAUUUUUCAUUGGAAAUGUAUACUACCUUGGUUGAAGAAGAUGAAUACUUGUCCAUUUUGCCGGUUUCAGCUGCCGUCCGAUGAUGUUUUGGCUGAAAUUCAACGGCUGUGGGAAAUG